rnacentral:misc_RNA from 1 species
CAGAUUCAGAUGGACCAUUCCCUACCAUUUGUACUCCUUGACCUUCUAACUGCUGUGGUAUAGAGGAAGUUGUUUCUGAGUCUUUAUUUGAAUGAAAAUUGGAUUUAAACAUAUUGGUUGACGCCUUAAAAGCCUGCGCAUCAAAUGAACGUUGCUGCAUUGAAAUACUGGUCCAAUCAGUAACUGACAUUCUUGCAGAAGCAUUCUCCUGUGAUGUGCCAGAUAUAUUAGAACCCUGAGGAGCUGGCACAACUUCCAAAACAGGAAAUUGCCGGGCUGAAUCUUUUUUGCAAUUUUGCUUGUUAUUACUCAGCUGAUGCAUCUCACCGGAGGAAGUAACAUCAUUAUGUGAAGUAACUCU